rnacentral:rRNA from 1 species
GGACUGCCGGUGCAAACCGGAGGAAGGUGGGGAUGACGUCAAGUCCUCAUGGCCUUUAUGACCAGGGCUACACACGUACUACAAUGGCCGGUACAAAGGGCAGCGACACAGCGAUGUGAAGCCAAUCCCGAAAAGCCGGUCUCAGUCCGGAUUGGAGUCUGCAACUCGACUCCAUGAAGUUGGAAUCGCUAGUAAUCGCGGAUCGGCACGCCGCGGUGAAUACGUUCCCGGGCCUU